UCCCGCUUAGCUCAGUGGUAGAGCGCGUCACUAGUAAAUUCGCGCGUCUUGAACGCUUACGUAAUCAAAAUGACGAGGCCAGUCGUUCAAAUCGGCUAGCGGGAA